CGAUAGUAUUGGAUAGUAUCCAUACUUUGACCGAGAACGAGAAGCCGCAAAGGUGACGACUGACGAGUGACGCUGAGAGAUUGUUUCGAACGUUGGGCUUAAAAAAUUUUCAACGAUAAGCGUCGAGCCUAAUCUAAUCUUUUCACAUAUACUUCGAACAAAAUGUUCACCCAAUGUUAUCCGUCGUUAAUGUGUGAUAACUAUCAGCGCGAUACGACGGCAAAUUUGCAGCGAAUACUGCGAGCAAGAUUUGCUGUUACGUAGCUCGACACGCUUCUUUAAACACUUUUAAAAGAAAAAAAGAUGAAUUCAAGAACGACGAAUCGCGAAUCCCUCCGUUGCGUGAUAGUAAUUACUUGGCAAUUGACGCUCCGUGGAAAAACUUUCUGUCGAGGAAACUGAGCGAAGCCUUCCCGGGGAAGAAAGGGUUAAUCGUGCGCGCUACUGACGGGGACGUUCGAGCAGAGCCGAGGCGAGGGAGGGAGCUAGCCCAUCACGUUUCCCAACGAACAGACGCGAGAGAAAGAAGAUCAAUUUACGGGGGCGACGCGGGCGCAAGCUGAGAGCUCUCGACGACGGACAACGGUCUGACGGAUCUUCGCUCCUCGCGCAGCAUCGAAAUCGGGCAAGCGCUUAAAUCGGGUCGUCGGCAUCGCUCGCGCUCGUCGCCGACGGCGCGGCGGUGCUCGCUCGCCCGCUCGCUCGUUGGCGCGUAA